CAACAAUAACUACAGCAGCAAGAGUGCCUCAUGUGGAGCUGUCUGCAGAGCUUGCCCACUUGCCAGAGACUCCCUUGUGGGACAUAGUAGCCUCAUCCAGCUGUUGAUGCCAUGGGAAGUGACCUUAUACUACCGCCAAGCAAUAUAUGAUGAAAUGUUGGGACAGGGUGCGCCAGUUAAUCACUGCAAACUGCAAUGUAAAGAAGUGAUGUCCCUGUCUGUGCAGUAUCCUGGUGACACUUCAACCUACAGGCAGGAGGAAGGAAAAUGUGGGCUGCCAUUUGGAGGAAGAACUGGAAACCAGACGCUCCUAUUUGGAUCCAUUUAGGAUGCCUGUGUGUUUGUGCCAAUUCCAGACUUGGAAAGCGGGGCACUUUUCCAAAGAGAGUUUGCAGAGGGACCCAGAGAGGAGCCCGGGAGCAGAACAGGGUCCAUUUGUUCCACCUGGAGAAUGACUUU